rnacentral:rRNA from 1 species
AUUGAACGCUGGCGGCAUGCCUUACACAUGCAAGUCGAACGGUAACAGGUCUCCGGAUGCUGACGAGUGGCGAACGGGUGAGUAAUACAUCGGAACGUGCCCGAUCGUGGGGGAUAACGGAGCGAAAGCUUUGCUAAUACCGCAUACGAUCUACGGAUGAAAGCAGGGGACCGCAAGGCCUUGCGCGGACGGAGCGGCCGAUGGCAGAUUAGGUAGUUGGUGGGAUAAAAGCUUACCAAGCCGACGAUCUGUAGCUGGUCUGAGAGGACGACCAGCCACACGGGGACUGAGACACGGCCCAGACUCCUACGGGAGGCAGCAGUGGGGAAUUUUGGACAAUGGGCGAAAGCCUGAUCCAGCCAUGCCGCGUGCAGGAUGAAGGCCUUCGGGUUGUAAACUGCUUUUGUACGGAACGAAAAGACUCUGGUUAAUACCUGGGGUCCAUGACGGUACCGUAAGAAUAAGCACCGGCUAACUACGUGCCAGCCGCCGCAGUAAUAC